GACAGAGGGGUGCAAAACGUUUGUUCGGAAUUACUGGGGCGUAAAGCGAGUGUAGGCGGUGUGGUAAGUCGGAUGUGAAAGCCCCCGGGGCUCAACCCGGGGAAGUGCACUCGAUACUGCCACGCUAGAGUAUCGGAGAGGUUGGUGGAAUUCUCGGUGUAGAGGUGAAAUUCGUAGAUAUCGAGAGGAACACCGGUGGCGAAGGCGGCCAACUGGACGAAUACUGACGCUGAGACUCGAAAGCGUGGGGGAGCAAACAGG
rnacentral:rRNA from 1 species